CGUGGACCCCCCCCCCCCCCCCCCCAUACAUCCAUCAAAUCGCACCAAAUAUCCACAAUAUCAACAACAUAUACCCUGCGUUCGAUGUCUCCCGGACGGCAAAGAUUCUAUGCCGUCCGCGUCAUUUUUUUUCCCAGCCGGAGCAAUACACAGGGCGGCUCUGAUUGGCUACCCGCUCCAGCCCCUGACGUCAGGACCCACAAUGCAUUGUGGUUGCUUAGCAACAGCGUUCGCAUCCUACGGAGUCGCAUCCGAUUUUGCUGUCUGCUGGUGCCGUGCGUUGUGUUUUGUUUUCGUCCGAUGGCCAUCUCUGGUUCGGGCAAGGAUACAUGUCUGAAAAUGGCUGAUAUUAAGCUUUGCCCAUGCAGCAAGGACAGCUUGACUAUUUUCCACAAUCUUAGGGAGCUGCUUCCUACGAACUACGACUACCGCGAACUACCGCGACUACGAACUACGACUACGACUACGACUACGACUACGACUACGACUUCCGAAGGAGAGAGAUGUAUCGACGGCGACCAGGGACCGUCUUCUGGAGCUGUUCCGGAUGGCCUACUCGGCUGAGUAGGCGCGAGACGAGCUCAUCUCAGCUCUGCAAGAGGAGGCCGGAGACGAUUUCUACCGCAUCGCAGCGGACCGCGCCCACUGUCCUGAUGUUGGCUAUUGUCACCGGUUGUACCGGACAGAAUUCAAGAAAGUCUUUGGCGAGCUCUCCGGAGAGAAAAUGCUGGACGGCCUUCGCUGCCUCGUAGAGCAGUGCGACGGAACAUCGGGCGGUCGUGCUGCUCUGGAGGUGGACGAUCACAGGCAUGAAAUGUCGUUCACAGGCAUUUCAAGAAAUGUGUUGUGAAAUCGAGUAAAUUGGUCUUACAGCACCCGGCGGGUUUUUGGCCUCAAUGAGGCAAGAUCCGCGGGAACCGAGCAGCACGAGCCAGCCAAGCACGAGCCGAAGUGACGCAUCUGGUGAUCAGCAACCUGACCCGGCGAGCGAGGAGAAGGCGGGCACCAACCCGGGCGACGGGACAGCUGACCUGAUCGCUCGGUGCCAGGCUCUGUGUGAGUCAUGGCAAGCUGACCUCAUGCGUGCACCAGAGCUGUACGGCCCCGCACUGGGCACGGCCACGUUCAUUAGCCGCUACGAGUGCAUGAAAACGGACAAUUCGCGGGGAUCAAGUUUGCACCAGUUUGGCACUGGUUGCAGCGCUGUCCCUGCAAGCUCCUUUAAAAGCUCCGUGAUGAUAGGCGUCCAUCCGACAGCAGUGGCUCGCAGGAAGGUCCCAGUUGGUGGCAAGCGGCGUGUUUCCACCGGGAGACCCAAAAAAGACGCCGCCGCUGGCGACCACGGUGCCUACGCCGUGCCAACGAAGGUCGCGAAGCAAUCACUCUGUUCUCAGGUGGUGCCCCCAGCUCGAGCCCCACACAACCUGGCGGAGUGUGUGGCUCGAAACGUGUCUGUGGGUCGAACCCACAGUGCCUAAUGUGUUCAGGAUGGUAGUUAGGAUGUAAUCCUCAAUGCGGAUCGACAGUGAAAGCUUUAAACGCGUCGAUGAUAACGGUCUAGCGGAAUGCGAGCAGUGGUUGCCAGAUGGUACUCGCAUGUGUAAAUACAUGUUCCAGUGGUUCUGGUGCUGCUGA